rnacentral:rRNA from 1 species
AGAGUUUGAUCAUGGCUCAGGACGAACGCUGGAGGUAUGCCUCAUACAUGCAAGUCGUACGGGAACUAUAACGCUUGCGUUGUAGUUCUAGUGGCGCACGGGUGAGUAACGCGUAGAUAACCUGCCCCGAAAACCGGGACAACGCCUGGAAACGGGUGCUAAUACCGGAUAAUCUGUUGCUAUUGACUUAGUAGCAGGAAAGUCGCCCUCUAUUUAUAAGGUGGCGUUUUGGGAGGGGUCUGCGUCCUAUUAGCUAGUUGGUGUGGUAAAAGCGCACCAAGGCGAAGAUGGGUAGCUGGCUUGAGAGAGUGACCAGCCACACUGGAACUGAGACACGGUCCAGACUCCUACGGGAGGCAGCAGUAGGGAAUAUUCCGCAAUGGGGGCAACCCUGACGGAGCAAUACCUCGUGAGUGAUGAAGGGUUUAGGCUCGUAAAGCUCAGUUAGUGGGGAAGAAGGGGUAGAAGUGUGAAUAAUGCUUUUACUUUGACGGUACCCACAGAGAAAGCAACGGCUAAUUACGUGCCAGCAGCCGCGGUAAUACGUAAGUUGCGAGCGUUGUCCGGAAUUACUGGGCGUAAAGGACGCGUAGGCGGUUUAGUAAGUCAGCAGUGAAAUCUCCGGGCCUAACCUGGAUGUUGCUGUUGAAACUGCUAGACUAGAGUACCGGAGGGGAAAACAGAAUUUCAUGUGUAGCGGUGAAAUGCGUAGAGAUAUGAGAGAAUACCAGUGGGCGAAAGCGGUUUUCUGGACGGUAACUGACGCUGAUGCGUGAAAGCGUGGGGUAGCAAACAGGAUUAA